UGGGCAGUGCCCGCUGCCCUAAUGGCUUCUCAGAAUUGUUCCAGGAAUAUUUUUUUGAAAUGUUGGUGUGCAUGCACUGCAGUUUGGACUCUGUAACUUCCCUGAGCCUGUAAAGAGCAUGGGAGUGCUACUUUUAUUUUUCCCAUGCUGUCAGACCCAUUCCUUUCUUUUUGAUCAGCCUCAUUGUUACAAGCACAAGGGCAGAGAAGGGAGUACAGAACCAAAGAGAAGAGCACCUGUUCCACUAACUUUACAGAGACACUCCCCAGUUGUGUGGCAGAGCUGAUGUUUCAGAGCAGAAAGAAAAGUGUGUGAGAAUGUGGCUCUCUGGCAAGAUGUCCAGAAUUCCCAGGUUUCAUUGGGUUUGACAGCAGCACCAUGACAAUAUUACUGUAGUUCCUGGGAGCCUUCGUCAGGGACCAGGACCACAUUGUGUUAGCUGCUGUACAAAUACAAAACAAAAGUCAGUCCAAUAAUCUCUCGUUUCUGUUUCUGGCCUAGCUGGAUUACUGUAGGUGCAGAGACAUCAUGUGUAAAAGACAAAAAAAUGUCAAUCAAACCAUUUUGAAAGGUCAGUGUUCAGUUUCCUGCAUGGGUGAAGUUUUGUGCUGACUCUUAAUUAUUUGAACUAGCUUAUCCAUCCCUAUUAAUUAAGUGUCCUUAGGUUUGUCUUCAGCACAAUGAAAUAAAUAAUAGAUACAUGUAAAAGAAAAUGAAAAUGCCGCAGAGCCAUGUUCAUCUGACUGGAAUAGGCAGCCUGGAAUUUAUUUGGUUAAAUGGGAGUUUCAAUAAGAGAUUUUUCACAGUGUGUUUACAGUAUUUCCCACAAUGUGCAUUCAGCCUAUUGAAUUCACUGCCUCAAGCAGAGAUUUAAAUAAUUUAUUUGGAUUUUAAAUGAAUGGCUAAUUUUAUGUCCAGAACUGACAUUGGUAGUUGUACAUACUAAGAUAGAUUUUAUUACCUCUCAUGCUUCAGGACGAAAGCUGGUCAGCAAUAGGGAACGGGUUGCUAUUUUUUUCUCUUCUAUUAAUUGUGCCAUCCUUACCUCGAGUAGCACUUUACUCUACAAAAUGAGGGUAGCAGAAUUGGGCCCUCUUUUAGUCACUUCUGUGGCUUCUUUCAUCUGGGGAUCUGCUUGUUCUUUGCAAACAAAUUAAUGAAGCCUCAUUACACCCCUGUAAAUUAGAAAAGGAUUAUAUAGUGAUCUAAGGUUUUGUUGUGAAUUUUAGCGCUCAGGAACUGUGCUGGAUUUUUGAGCCCUGGAGAAUGAAAUCCACGGAACAUUUACAGCAUAGCCUCCCAGAUUCAUGGAGCUCAAUCUAUUUGACUAACAAAGAGAAGGUUAAGGGGUGACUCGAAGUACCUACAUGGAGAACAAAUGGGCUCUUUAAUCUAACGGACAAAUGGAUAACAGGUCAACUGCUGGAAGUUGAAGGAAUUAUUUUGCUGAAAUUAUAUGCAAGGACAUCUAUGUGCAGGCCUGGCACGGUGGCCAAAAAGAAUCCAAUCUUGUCCUCAUGAAGUGCAUGCACACCAAGAGUGAAAUCCACAUGGGCAACGCUUCUCGAAGAACCACAGUUACUGUAAGAUAAGGAGAUUGAAGAAAAGAAGUUACAACUUACCCAAGACUACUGAAGGUGUCAAUGUCAGAAGCAGCAUUAGAAUGCAGGAGUUCCUACUAUCUUACUCAGCCCAUUUUGUGCCUCCCUCUGAUUGGUAAAAGAAACAUGAGCUGUGUUGAUGCAAACAGCCAAAGGAUUUGGGGAGCUUGUUGAAAAGCUCAGAACCAUAUGGUUAUUUCCUGUGUGAGUGAAUAUGUUAGCCUGAUUAACUCCAGAAGAUUCUAUAAAUGGUCCACCCCUGCAAUUCUUCUUCAAGCAAAACUCCCAUUUGGAGACAAGAUCGGUUGUUUAUAAGCAAUGCACAGCAUUAACAGAAGCAAGGCAGAGGUUCUAGAAGAAAUUAAGGCUAGAUCCACAAAGCAGACAAAUGAGGUUGUGCUUGUGAUCUGCCAUAGCUUCUGCCGUGAUCUCCACAUCCGUACACCAGAAUGUCAUAAGAUGUGAUGCUGAUCCCUGGUGAACCAACCUCGCACUGGGACAACGGGAACAGACCAAUCACUGUGGGCCCAGAAGGCCACGCCCCCUUUCCCCUGCUGUACAUGUUCCAGAUGGAAGAGCCAGAUAAAAGGAGGCAGCCCCGCUCAGUCAGGGCUGGCUGCAGAGAUGGAAGGACAUGUACUGCAGGCUCCUCCAGAGGUGCUGGUGGCGCUCUAGGUGGCAGAGCCCAUAGACCUGGACUAUGCUGUGGGUGACUCACGGACUGUAGAGACUGAUGGGGAUGCCAAGCUGCCACCAGCUGAGGAGAUGCCUGGGACGCAAUUUAUGGUAGGAAGUGACCCAGGAUGUAGUAGAAGCUGAUGUCUAAACCCUUAAUGGGGAAGUCCCUGACUUCAUAGGGCUCUGAGUUGGAACCCAGUGGAGCAGGUGGGGCUGGAUUCCCUUACCACAGGCCAUUAGGCUUGGCUGUUGUUUGCACUCAGCCCCAGUCCAGAGGCUCAGGGGCUAUAGAUUGUUUGAUUGCCCUGUCCCACUCGGUGGCUACAGACUGAUUGUUUUUCUGCCCCGCCCAGAGGGCCAGAACCCCAAAUACUACUGCCUGCCACCGUGAAGAGGCUUAGGGGCCAUAGAUUAUUUGUUUGCCCAGCCCUGCCCGGGGGCUAUAGGCUGAUCAUUGCCGUGCCCUGCCCAGAGGGCCAGAAUGCCUAUCGUUGUCAGCCAUAUUCCAGAGGCUCAGGGGCUACAGACUAUUUGCUUGGCCCCCACCAGAGGUCCGGAACGCACCGUGCUGCAAUUACCUGCUCUAACAAGCAAUCCUGACAACGGGGUGUACCAACCCUGCACUGGGCCAACAGGGGCUGCCCAGCUGGACAAACAGCCCUCCCCCUCCCCCAGCCUUGUCAUAAUUAUCAAAGUGAAAUGCUUCACAUUAUCAAAAUGAAACAUUUAGAUGGCUUCAAAUUGAUUUUUUUUUUAAUUUCCAGUUUGUGGCAAAUUUCAGAAUUUCAGCCUUUCGUUAUGAUUCUAAAUGAAAACAAAUGUUGAAAUAUCAGAAUUUACCACAGAAAGAAAAAGUUGUUUUCUAGCCAGCUCGACUGAUGUUUUUUUUUAAAGAAACAUUUUGAUCAGUUUUCUGCAUACACAUUUCAGUAUGGGUUUAUCCCCAUCUUUGAGUGCUAAACUAAUUGUAUCCAUUAACAGUGCCAAGAUUUACUGUGCAGUAAAAAUAGUUAUACACAUCCCAUACUCUGCACAUUUACUUAAUAAACUUGUUUUACAUAUGAUAACAAAGCUAUUGAAAACAUAAUAGAAAUAUCAAAGUUCUGCAGAUAUUUUUCUUAUUAAAAUUAUGAAUUAAAUCCCCUUGCAAAAAUGAUGGGUUAAGCAAUAGAUUUCAACUUAAAAAUCAAAUUUCAUAUCCCAUCUGCAUGAGAGACCUUGGUUACAGACUUUUAUUGACUAAGUCCGAGAUUAGAAGAAAUAUGAUGUCCUUGUUUCACCUAACUGCAAUCUGUCUGCAACGAGUUAACAUCCUGCAGUGACUGGAAAUGGAAACUAAGAGGUGACGAUAAUGAAAAUAUGAGUCUUGUGCUACCUGUUAUCAAGCACCAGAAAAAAAUGUGAAGUGAUUUUUAAAAUCAAAGGAAACAUUACUGCAGAUGUACUGGUAUAAAAGUGAGUUUCUAAGCUAUCCUCAAUUUCCAAUAAUUGUAGAAUUUUUCAAAAGGAGUAAGAUGUAUGUCAGAAUAUAAAUUUAUGCUCCUCUAAGAUUGAGGGGCAAAAUUAAUACUCUGCUUGAACCACAGGUAAGCAUGUAUUCUUUUCUCACAAAUUAUUAAAAAUCAUGUUAUUUUUGUUCUCUUCUACAGAUCUAAUGCCUGUAAUGCGUGUCUCAUAUUUUUUUUAUUUCUUCUUGGAACCACAGUGAGUAGAAAAUGAACAAGGAAAUGAGAACAGCUGCAUUAUUUAACCCCUCCCUCCAGCAAUGGCAGCACAAAUCAUUGGUGUACUAGUUAUGCAAAUACUGAUCGCCAGAUAAUGCUGUUUGUUAUUCAAGUGUAUGUUGAUUGGCCUACAUGUUUGUACUAACAAUUAUAGGAGGUGAUACAUAUUUGGUUUCAAACUUGAAUUAAAUCAAAGUAUGGGUUAGAUGUGCCCCUUGGAUCUGCUACUUUAUCACCAAAAAGACUAUAAGAAGCUUGAUAAGUCUUUAAACAAAUAUUUUUAACCCACCAAAACAUCUGUGAAGGGUUUGGCACCAGCUUUUGAAUCCUAUUUUGCACCUCAUCCAAACCUCCCAAAGUUCCUUGUUGGCCUAGUAAACCCCUAUAUCAAGCCACCUUAUCAGGCCCCUACUCUUUAUUAUUUUCCUUUUUACAACAUCCCAUUUGGCUUGCGAGAGUUUGCCCAGGAAGGUGGAAAUUAACUGUAACCUCAUCAACCAACUGGGCAGGCUUCAGCUGCAGUCAGUUCUAUUUAAACAAGUUUUAAAAGUUGAUCAAGCAAACAGGCUAAAUGAA